AGAGUUUGAUCAUGGCUCAGAUUGAACGCUGGCGGCAUGCCUUACACAUGCAAGUCGAACGGCAGCGCGGGGCACCUGGCGGCGAGUGGCGAACGGGUGAGUAAUAUAUCGGAACGUGCCCUGGAGUGGGGGAUAACGCAGCGAAAGUUGCGCUAAUACCGCAUACGAUCUAAGGAUGAAAGCAGGGGACCGCAAGGCCUUGUGCUCCUGGAGCGGCCGAUAUCUGAUUAGCUAGUUGGUGGGGUAAAGGCCUACCAAGGCAUCGAUCAGUAGCUGGUCUGAGAGGACGACCAGCCACACUGGAACUGAGACACGGUCCAGACUCCUACGGGAGGCAGCAGUGGGGAAUUUUGGACAAUGGGCGAAAGCCUGAUCCAGCAAUACCGCGUGAGUGAAGAAGGCCUUCGGGUUGUAAAGCUCUUUUGUCAGGGAAGAAACGGUGUGGGCUAAUAUCCCGCACUAAUGACGGUACCUGAAGAAUAAGCACCGGCUAACUACGUGCCAGCAGCCGCGGUAAUACGUAGGGUGCAAGCGUUAAUCGGAAUUACUGGGCGUAAAGCGUGCGCAGGCGGUUUUGUAAGUUUGUCGUGAAAGCCCCGGGCUCAACCUGGGAAUUGCGAUGAAGACUGCAAGGCUUGAAUCUGGCAGAGGGGGGUAGAAUUCCACGUAGCAGUGAAAUGCGUAGAGAUGUGGAGGAACACCGAUGGCGAAGGCAGCCCCCUGGGUCAAGAUUGACGCUCAUGCACGAAAGCGUGGGGAGCAAACAGGAUUAGAUACCCUAGUAGUCC
rnacentral:rRNA from 1 species